GAUGAACGCUGGCGGCGUGCCUAAUACAUGCAAGUCGAGCGAACAGACGAGGAGCUUGCUCCUCUGACGUUAGCGGCGGACGGGUGAGUAACACGUGGAUAACCUACCUAUAAGACUGGGAUAACUUCGGGAAACCGGAGCUAAUACCGGAUAAUAUAUUGAACCGCAUGGUUCAAUAGUGUAAGACGGUUUUGCUGUCACUUAUAGAUGGAUCCGCGCCGCAUUAGCUAGUUGGUAAGGUAACGGCUUACCAAGGCAACGAUGCGUAGCCGACCUGAGAGGGUGAUCGGCCACACUGGAACUGAGACACGGUCCAGACUCCUACGGGAGGCAGCAGUAGGGAAUCUUCCGCAAUGGGCGAAAGCCUGACGGAGCAACGCCGCGUGAGUGAUGAAGGUCUUCGGAUCGUAAAACUCUGUUAUUAGGGAAGAACAAAUGUGUAAGUAACUAUUCACGUCUUGACGGUACCUAAUCAGAAAGCCACGGCUAACUACGUG
rnacentral:rRNA from 1 species